rnacentral:rRNA from 1 species
AACGAACGCUGGCGGCAGGCUUAACACAUGCAAGUCGAACGCCCCGCAAGGGGAUUGGCAGACGGGUGAGUAACGCGUGGGAAUCUACCUAGUUCUACGGAACAACAGAGGGAAACUUCUGCUACUACCGUAUACGCCCUACGGCGGACAGACUAAGCGGAAUUAGAUGGGCCCGCGUAAGAUUAGCUAGUUGGUUGGGUAAUGGCCUACCAAGGCGACGAGCUUUAGCUGGUCUGAGAGGAUGAUCAGCCACACUGGGACUGAGACACGGCCCAGACUCCUACGGGAGGCAGCAGUGGGGAAUAUUGGACAAUGGGCGCAAGCCUGAUCCAGCCAUGCCGCGUGAGUGAUGAAGGCCUUAGGGUUGUAAAGCUCUUUCAGUGGGGACGAUAAUGACGGUACCCACAGAAGAAGCCCCGGCUAACUUCGUGCCAGCCGCCGCAGUAACAC